CGGCCCAGCCUUUUCCCUUCCAGCUCCCUGUUUGAAGCUAUUUUUUCCACAGCUCCUGCCAAGAGCCGCUAAUGAGAAACAAACGGGCUCCUCGGCCGCGGCUGCUCCCGGCCCACACACCUCCGGCUGUGGGGACGGGGCUGCACCUCCCGGUGCCCUCCUGGCACCGUCCUCCCGCGGGCACCGCCGGCCCUCCUGGCACCGGCCCUGGGCACCUGCGUCUUCCCCAUCUGGCACCGGCCCUGGGCAUCUCUGUCCUCCCUGUCCAGCACCACCCCUGGACAUCUCCAUCCUGCCCACAUGCCACUAUCACUGGCCCUCUCCCGCUCCGGCAUCCCUCCGGCAUCCCUCCGGCAUCCCUCCGGCCGGGCCUGGCCCCGCUGCAGAGCCAGUGUCGACGGCUUCCUGCGGAGGCGGAGGAAUUUGGCACCCGGCCCAGGGCUGGAGCUGGACACUGCAGGCAGCACGGCCACCCAGCACCCAAAGGCAGGAGAGCAUCCCACUGGCAAUGGGAAUGGGGGUCGGGUGCCACCGUGGAGGUGGAUGGCGAGGGGAGGCCCGUGUGGGUCUGUCUGUGGGUGCACACGCGUCCGGCCGGGGCUGAUUCAUGUGCCUGUGUCACGCAUGUGCAUGAGCAGUGGUUGCACGUGCCGGGGUUGCACACGCAGGGGCUGCACCCAAGUUUGUGUGGAGGGAUGGAGAAGGGAUGGAGAAGCAGAGGAAUGGAGGGAUAAAUAAAUAAGUAAAGGAG